UACAGGGGGGGCAAGCGUUGUUCGGAAUUACUGGGCGUAAAGGGCUCGUAGGCGGCCAACUAAGUCCGACGUGAAAUCCCUCAGCUUAACUGGGGAACUGCGUGUGAUACUGGAUGGCUUGGAUUUGGGAGAGGGAUGCGGAAUUCCAGGUGUAGCGGUGAAAUGCGUAGAUAUCUGGAGGAACACCGGUGGCGAAGGCGGCAUCCUGGACCAAUAUUGACGCUGAGGAGCGAAAGCCAGGGGAGCAAACAGG
rnacentral:rRNA from 1 species